GCCUUCUUGGCUCAGUUGGCAGAGCGUCUGCCUAGUGAGCAGAAGGUCGCUAAUUCGAUUCUGGCAGAAGGCA
rnacentral:tRNA from 2 species